rnacentral:misc_RNA from 1 species
AAGUCGUAACAAGGUUUCCGUAGGUGAACCUGCGGAAGGAUCAUUAUUGAAUAAACCUGAUGUGGUUGUUGCUGGCUCUCUCGGGAGUAUGUGCACGCCCGUCAUCUUUAUAUUUCCACCUGUGCACCUUUUGUAGACCCGCGGGACUUGAGCAAUCAAGUCAAGUAGGCCUACGUUUUAUCAUAUACCCCAUAGUAUGUAUCAGAAUGUAUCAGUGGGCUUUGUGCCUAUAAACACUAUACAACUUUCAGCAACGGAUCUCUUGGCUCUC